UACGGAGGGGGCUAGCGUUGUUCGGAAUUACUGGGCGUAAAGCGCGCGUAGGCGGCUUUGUAAGUUAGAGGUGAAAGCCCGGGGCUCAACCCCGGAACUGCCUUUAAGACUGCAUCGCUUGAAUCCAGGAGAGGUGAGUGGAAUUCCGAGUGUAGAGGUGAAAUUCGUAGAUAUUCGGAAGAACACCCGUGGCGAAGGCGGUUCUCUGGGACGGUACUGACGCUGAGACGCGAAAGCGUGGGGAGCGAACAGG
rnacentral:rRNA from 1 species